rnacentral:rRNA from 1 species
UACAGGGGGGGCAAGCGUUGUUCGGAAUUACUGGGCGUAAAGGGUUCGUAGGUGGCCACUUAAGUCAGACGUGAAAUCCCUCGGCUUAACCGGGGAACUGCGUCUGAUACUGGAUGGCUUGAGAUUGGGAGAGGGAUGCGGAAUUCCAGGUGUAGCGGUGAAAUGCGUAGAUAUUGGGAGGAACACCAGUGGCGAAGGCGGCUCACUGGACCGGAACUGACGCUGAGGCGCGAAAGCGUGGGGAGCAAACAGG